GGGAACACAGUGGGUAAGAGAAGAAAACAUGGAGAAUUAUUUUACAGCUGUGAUGUUGUCAAUUGUACAAUAUCUACUCCAAUUUCCUCCCAUCUUUGAGAUGACUGAUAAGAAUGCCUUAUGUGUCACACAGGAUCAUAACACAAACUUUCUUCUCUUUCCUGAUGCCCCUCUCAAAUUUACUCAGUAGGGGGAACUUCACCUUCUCCUAUCUCCUGGGAAAUAACCACUAAAGUCUUGAAAUGUCUUGAGUGAUUGGAGGACCUUUAUUUUUCACGCCUGAUGCCUUAUGCUGAUGAGAUGACUCAGCAGGGGAUGGCCAGGCCAGAAAGACCAAAACUGUAUCCUGAGGUUUGAGUUUCUGAGCCAGGUGAUGUCAUCCUCCAGCUUGGCCGGCCUCUUUCUGGGAGCCUCUGGUGUGAAAGAGAGCAGAUUUAUUAAAAAUCAUCAACUUCAAAUUAUUUGGAUGGAAACAUUGCCAAAUCAUAGAGAUGUUUGCUACCACCCGCACACCAAGCAGCUGGGUAACUAGAAGUGCAGGAUCAGCUUAUUCACCUCCGAAAGCCUGCAUGCAACCACUGAGGCCGCCUCUAUUUUUUACAUAGUUCUACUUGGUGUAUGUAACCCCACAGAGAAACCUGGAAGAAUGCAUGAAACCUAGUAAGGCAACCAGCACAUGCAACAGAAUGAACCGUUUCUUUCCAUCUGAAUGCCUAAAUGUGGACUCUGAUCCUUUCUACCAAGUCCUAAGUUUGGGAAAAGAGGACAAGGACAGGGGCUCUGUCCCAUAUCAUAAUGUGCUUGUGAAUGGCUAAAAUUACAAUGCUGAGAUAAGUGUGUGUAAUAAAAUAAUUGCACCCCGAA
rnacentral:lncRNA from 1 species